UCAAAGACUGAAUGAAAUAGGAAAAACAACAGCAUAAAUAGUUCUCUUAAUGUACAAAACUUUUAUCAAAAUAAGUGCGUGCAUUUUCUAAGAAGAUGACAUUGCCAUUGCAUUUACUUUUGUUAAGAAUACUAACUACACUGGAUAAAUCUGAAAUGAACAUCCUUAACAAAAUGCCUUAAUUAACCCCUAGAAGUUUACUCCAAUGGAGGAACAUAACCAAGAAGAGACAACCACAAGUGAUAACUGUCUUUAUAAUUUUAAUAGCUUCACUUCUACUGAAAUUUAAUUUUUGUAAAUUAUAUGCUUAUUAUUUAGAAGCUUAUAACUUCUAGAAGUUUACUCCAAUGCAGGAACAUAACCAAGAAGAAAUCUAAUUUCUUUUUGUUUUUUUUGUUUUUUUUUGAGAUGGAGUCUCGCUCUGUCAUCCAGGCUAGAGUGCAGUGGUGUGAUCUCGGCUCACUGUAACCUCUGCCUCUCAGGUUCAAGUGAUUCUUCUGCCUUAGCCUCCUGAGUAGCUGGGAUUACAGGUGUGUGCCACCAUGCCUGGCUAAUUUUUGUAAUUUAGUAGAGACGGGGUUUUACCAUAUUGGUCAGGCUGGUCUGGAACUCCUGACCUUGAGAUCUGCCUGCCUCAGCCUCCCAAAGUGCUGGCAUUACAGACAUGAGCCACUGCGCCCGGCCUAAAGAAAUUUAAUUUCUAUAAAUUAUAUGCUCAUUAUCUCAUUUUAAAUUUCAAAUAAUAAGCAAAUUCCACCUUUAUGGUAAGAAUGCAGCAAAUUGUUUGUAAUAUAAAUUCCAAAGACAGGCAGAAAGUAACUAUUAGGCCUAUGGGAAAAGGACCCUGAAGAAGAAAUCCAAAUACCUGGAAUCCUGUCUCUACCCUAGCAUUAAAGAAACAGCUCUUUAUUACUACUGAGCAACUUAAUCUCCUAUUAUCUUGGAUUUGUCCUUAUUUCUCUGCAUUCAGUUUCUUCUUCUCUACCUCUAAAGUACUAUGUCUUCACCUAUGCUCUCCAUACAGCAGUGACAGAAGGGGAAUUAAAGAGUUGGGUUUCCUCCCUCUCCCUCUCCCCACGGUCUCCCUCUCCCUCUCUUUCUACGGUCUCCCUCUGAUGCCUAGCGGAAGCUGGACUGUACUGCUGCCAUCUCGGCUCACUGCAACCUCCCUGUCUGAUUCUCCUGCCUCAGCCUGCCCAGUGCCUGUGAUUGCAGGCGCGCGCUGCCACGCCUGACUGGUUUUCAUAUUUUUUUGGUGGAGACGGGGUUUCGCUGUGUUGGCCGGGCUGGUCUCCAGCUCCUAACCGCGAGUGAUCUGCCAGCCUCGGCCUCCCGAGGUGCCGGGAUUGCAGACAGAGUCUCAUUCACUCAGUGCUCAAUGGUGCCCAGGCUGGAGUGCAGUGGCGUGAUCUCGGCUAGCUACAACCUCCACCUCCCAGCCGCCUGCCUUGGCCUCCCAAAGUGCCAAGAUUGCAGCCUCUGCCCGGACGCCACCCCAUCUGGGAAGUGAGGAGUGUCUCUGCCUGGCCGCCCAUCAUCUGGGAUGUGAGGAGCCCCUCUGCCCGACUGCCCAGUCUGGGAAGUGAAGAGCACCUCUUCCCGGCCGCCAUCCCAUCUAGGAAGUGAGGAGCGUCUCUGCCCGGCCGCCCAUCGUCUGAGAUGUGGGGAGCGCCUCUGCCCCGCCGCCCCGUCUGGGAUGUGAGGAGCGCCUCUGCCGGGCCGCGACCCCAUCUGGGAGAUGAGGAGCGUCUCUGCCCGGCCGCCCCAUCUGAGAAGUGAGGAGCCCCUCUGCCUGGCAGCCGCCCUGUCUGAGAAGUGAGGAGCCCCUCUGCCCGGCAGCCGACCCGUCUGAGAAGUGAGGAGCCUCUCCGCCUGGCAGCCGCCCCGUCUGAGAAGUGAGGAGCCCCUCCGCCCGGCAGCUGCCCUGUCUGGCCAUAGACUCUCCAACUCCUGCAACUGUCUGGAAUUUCUUCUCUCUCCAAUCCAUCUCUAGUAUUGAUGACAUAGGUAACUUUCCACAAGUCACACCAUACCAAGUGCUUUACAUCACCUGUUUACGUACUUAUCAAAUGGCAAUAUAGAUUACAGAUAUAUAUAUAAACACACACGUAUAUAUCGGGUAUGUCUACUUGGUAUUUUAGGGGAAAAAACGGGUGCUGAUACAUAGAUGGAAGACAUUUUCUGAUUCCAAUUUGGGAAAAAUAGUCUAUCUUUGGUCAGGUCUUUUUUUUAAUAGCUUUACUGAGGCGGUUUUCUAAUUUUAAAUAAUCAAGCAUACACAACAAACAGUGUAAUGACUAAGGUUCUUGGCAUACCAUAGGAAACCAUAACCCGGCUCCAACCCACACUGCCAUUCUCAUCUCUACAGUCUCAUUCCCGCUUGCGUUCUCAUCACCCAGCACAUUACGUCAGGGUAUGUUUAACACUCAAAAAUCCACAAGUCUGUUCUUGACAUGAAUGAGAAUCUCAUUUCUUUCAAAAUGCUAUAGUCUCUAGUUACAGAAGGAGCCUGAUCAAAACAACCACCAAAAGUCUUCCACUCACAGCAGUUCGGAGCCGAAAAGUUGCGGAAAUGAGGCCCAGCAACGGUCCCUGGCUUUGAUUUGCCAAAAUGCUCUGGAAGCCGCAGCGUCGGCGCCUGCCCACCACUGCUUCUUCAGGGGUUUCUUCAGUUUGACAAAUUACCAGCGAGUGAUAUUUCUUGGUGAAAGAAAAAAAUCACAACCCUAGAGGAAUAAGGUGGCAGGGAGAGUGUUUUGGCCAAGAUGCCCGCCACGAAACAGGAAAGCGGAGACAGCGCCAACUGUAACCACUAAGAGAAAGCGCAAACCGCACAAGACCAGUUCAAAACCAGCGCCCUCAGGGAGCCGCUUCAGAGCUCCGCAACAGGGAAGACAGGAAGUCCCGCCCCUCCACAACAGGAAGGGCCGGAAGUCCCGCCCCUCCACUCCGGAGGCUGCCCUCGCUGCGUUCCCUACGAAGGGCGGAGCAGGAAUUGGUGUAGGAAGGGGACGGGUGUUUCCUUGUUCGGAAUGGGGUUGGCUCCUCUUUGAUUUUUUACUUCUGGUGACCCACGCAAAAGCAGUCCCGACCUGGUUGUAUUAAUAAUAAAGGCUGUAAGGAUCAGCCUUUUGAACGGUCCAGCCGAGAACUAACCACAGAGCGCGUUUUAGUGGAGUGGUACUUAUUUUUAAAUAAGGUAAAAAACGAUUAUACUUCAGUAAAGCUGUUUAGAAAAAAAAAAACUUGGCCAAAGAUGGAGAACUCUUCCUAAUUUGGUAUCAGAAAAUAGGUCGUCUAUGUAUCUGCACCUUUUUUCCUUAUAAAGUGGCAAAUAAAUGUGUCUGCUAUAUUUAUUGCCACUAAACAAGUGUUUAUGGAACACUCACUGUGUGUUUAGGCAUAGUGGGGAUAAAGCAGGGAAGGUGGCCCAGUUCUUUGCGGGUGAGGAUCAGAGCUAGAGAUUAACUGGAAAGAAAGAAUAAACAAUCAUUUAUUACAGUUGUGAGUGUUUCUAAGAUAAAAUACAGAGGUUUGUGAGAGCAUAGAGAGGCAUACCUUGUUUUAUUGUGCAUUUUAUUGUGCUUUGCAGAUACUGAGUUUACUACAAAUGGAAGGUUUGAGGCAACCUUGAUGGAGCAAGUGUAUGGGUGCCAUGUUUUUCCAACAUCAUGUGCUCACUUUGUGUCUCUGACAUAUUUUGGUAAUUCCCACAAUAUUUCAAACUUUUUCAUUAUUUUUGUAUCUGUUAGAGUGAUCUGUGUGAUCACUGAUCUUUGAUGUCACUACUGUAAUUGUUUUGGGGGACCACAGAUCAUGCUCAUACAUUAUAAAAUGGCGAACUGAAUCUGUUACAGGUAGUUAGGCAUGAGCAAGGCAGGAGAGGGCUCUCCCCUGCCACCCACCCACUAGAAAUGUUGGGUGAUGGUUCAGCAAUUAUCACAUGGCCUCUCUAAAAAUGAAAAUUUGGCAGCGCCAGGGAAAGGCCAUUUCCUGAUGGCCCACACCUGUUAACAUCAAAAUGUUAAUUGAAUGCAGGCCCCAGAGAGAAGCAACUUCCUGGGCAUGCCGGUUAAGAGACAAAAGUGAUGAAGUAUGAUUUUUCUGAUACACUCCACCGGAAAAAGGAAGAAAGCCUCAGAUGGGCAUGUGUAUAAAUCCAUAAAAUCACUGUGUGUGCUCACUUCCCAAGGGUAAAGAGGGCUCUGAGCAUGCAGGGAGCCCAUCCUAAGAUCAUGGUUAAAUGCGGCACUUGACCUUCUCUCUCUCUCUCUCCUUUUCUUUUUCUUUUUUUUUUGAGACGGAGUCUCACUCUGUCGCCCAGGCUGCAGUGCAGUGGCGCGAUUUCAGCUCACUGCAAUCUCCGCCUCCCGGGUUCAAGCAAUUCUCUGCCUCAGCCCCCUCCCCGAGUAGCUGGGAUUACAGGCGCCCACCACCAUACCCGGCUAAUUUUUUUGUAUUUUUAGUAGAGACAGGGUUUCACCAUCUUGGCCAGGCUGGUCUUGAACUCCUGACCUCAUGAUCCACCUGCUUCAGCCUCCCAAAGUUCUGGGAUUAUAGGCGUGAGCCACUGCACCCGGCUGGCCUUCUCUCUUUAACCUUCACAUGCCCACUUGGGUCUCUUCCAUGCGUACCUUCCUUUCUUUCCUGUUCUAAUGCCUGUUUAAAUAAACCUCCAUUCCUACUCUGGAACUUGCUUCAGUCUCUUUUCUGCUUUAUGUCUGUCAGUCAAAUUCUUUCUUCUCUGAGGAGGCCAGGACUGAAGUUGCUAUGGACCUGCAAGGAUAGGCUGCUGGUAACUUGGGGUAACUCAGAUCUCUUCCACUAGUAACAAGUCGAUUGAUAUAUAUUGUGUGUGUCUGGCUGCUGUAUUCACUGGCCACUCUCAUCUCUCACCCUCUCCUAGAGCCUUCCUAUUCCUUGAGACACAACAAUAUCAAAAUUAGGCAAAGUAAUACCCCUACAGUGGCUUCUAAGUGUCCAAGUAAAAGAGGGUUGUAUGUCUCUCACUUUAAAUCAUAACCUAGAAAUGCAUGAUUAAGCCUGUAAGGAAGGCAUGUUGAAAGCUAAGAUAGGCUGAAAGCUAAGCCUCUUGUGUCAAACAGCCAAGUUGUGAAUACAAAGAAAAAAUUCUUAAAGGAAAUUAAAAGUACUACUCCAGUGAACACAUGAAUAAUAAGAAAAACCAAAACAGCCUUAUUACUGACAGGGAGGAAGUUUGAAUGGUCUGGAUAGAAGAUCAAACCAGCUACAACAUUCCCUUAAACCAAAGCCUAAUCCAGAACAAAGCCCUAACUCUCUUCGAUUCUAUGAAGGCUGAGAAAGGUGAGGGAGUUGAAGAAAAGUUUAAAGCUAUCAGUAGUUGGUUCAUGAAAUUUAAGGAAAGAAGCCAUCUCUGUAACAUAAAAGGGCAAGGUGAAGCCACAAGUGCUGAUGUAGAAGCUGCAGCAAGUUAUCCAGAAGAUCUAACGAAGACCAUUGAUGAAGGUGGCCAAAUUAAACAGCGGAUUUUUAAUGUAGAUGCAACAGCCUUCUAGUGGAAGAUGUCAUCCAGGACUUUCAUAGCCAGAGAGAAAUUAAUGCCUGGUUUCAAAGCUUCAAAGGACAGGCUGAUUGUCUUGUGAAGGUCUAAUGCAGCUGGUGACUUGAAGUUGAAACCAAUGCUCAUUUCUCAUUUCAAAAUCCUAGGGCCCUUAAGAAUUAUGUUAAAUCUACUCUGCCUGCACUCCAGAAACAACAGAGCCUGGAUGACAGCACAUCUGUUUAGAGUAUGAUUUACUGAAUAUUUUAAGCCCACUGUUGAAAAUGACAUUCAGAAAAAUAGAUUUCUUUUAAAAUAUUGCUACUUAUUGACAAUGCACCUGGUCACCUAAGAGCUCUGAUGACGUACAAGGAGAUUAAUGUUGUUUUCAUGUCUGCUAACGCAGCAUCCAUUCUACAGCCUAAGAGUCAAGAAGUAAUUUUGAUUUUCAGGUCUUAUUAUUUAAACAAUACAUUUCUUGAGGCUAUAGCUGACAUACAGAGUGAUGUCUCUAAUGGAUCUGGGCAAAAUCAAUUGAAAACCUUUGGGAAAAGAUUCACCAUUCUAGAUGCCAUUGAGAACAUUUGUGCUUCAUGGGAGGAGGUCAAAAUAUCCAAUUAAGAGAAGUUUGGAAGAAGUUUAUUCCAAUCCUCAUGGUUGAGUUUGAGGGCUUCAUGUCUUUAGUGAAAGAAGUGACUGCAGAUGUGAUGGAAACAGCAAGAGAACUGAAUGAGAAGGGGAGCCUGAAGAUGUGACUGAAUUGCUGCAAUCUCCUGAUAAACCUUGAAUGGAUGAGUUGCUUCUUUUUUUUUUGAGAUGGAGUCUUGCUCUGUCACCCAGGCUGGAGUGCAGUGGCACAAUCUUGGCUCAGUGCAACCUCCGCUUGCUGGGUUCAAGCAAUUCUUCUGCCUCAGCCUCCCGAGUAGCUGGGACUACAGGCAUGCGCCACCAUGCCCGGCUAAUUUUUUGUAUUUUUGGUAGAGACAGGGUUUCACCAUGCUGUCCAGGCUGGUCUUGAACUCCUGACCUUGUGACCCGCCUGCCUCGGCCUCCCAAAGUGCUGGGAUUACAGGCGUGAGCCACGGCGCCUGGCCUGCGUUGCUUCUUAUGGAUUAGCAAAGAAAGUGAUUUCUUGAAAUGGAAACUACUCCUAGUGAAGAUGCUGAGUAUUGUUGAAAUGACAAUAAAGGAUUUUGAAUAUUACAUAAACUUUGUUGAUAAAACAGCAGCAGGGUUUAAGAUGAUUGACUCAAAUUUUUAAAGAAGUUCUAUUGUGGUUAAAAUGCUAUCACACAGCAUUGCAAACUGGAUAAAUCUUUCUUGAAAGGAAGAGGCAAACCUCAUUGUUGGCUUAUUUUAAGAAAUUGCCACAGCUGUCCCAGCCUUCGGCAACCACCACCCGAAUCAGUCAACAGCUAUCAACACUGGGGCAAGACCCUCCACCAGCAAAAAGAUUACGAUUCACUGAAGACUCAUAUGAUCAUUUGUAUUUUCUAGCAAUAAAGAAUUUUUAAAUUAAGUCUGGAACGGAACUAGCAAUAUCUCCAUGGAAUACCUGUAAUGAGCAGAUUUAACCUAAGAUGAGAAAAUAUUUCCACUGAAGUUUGAAAUUUAAGUACGUGUUAGCCAGGUAAAGUAGGGGGAAAAGUAUUUCAAGCAGAGGUUAAAGUCCCUGUGUUAAGGCUGUGAGGCCCAAGGGAAGGAGCUUUCCCUUUAAAAAGGACUGAAAGAAAGCAAAUGUGGUUUAAGCAUGGUUAGGGAGGAAAGAGGCCUGAAGGGGAGGGAAUCCUGGAGUGGGAUACAGAGGUAGGCAGGCAGAGUACAGAACAUUAGGGAUUUAUGGACUCAAGAUUUAUAUUCUCUGACACCAAAUUAGGAAAAAAAGAGGUCUCUAUUUUUGGCCAAGUUGUGUGUGUGUGUGUGUGUGUGUGUGUGUGUGUGU